GGGCUAAUAGUUUCACUUAUUCUUUACCUUCAACUAGAAAUUAUGUUUAAACACGUUUUAGUUUUCGACACUGUCUGAUAUUUGCUUACAAAAGGAAUGAAGCACGUCGCAUUAGGCGGCUGAUGAUAUGAAGUCAAUAGCAAAUCAACCUAAAAUUUACGCACAGACAACCCCUCGUCUGGCAGAGCCCGGACCAUGGUAAUCGAAUCCGACCAGAAGCCGAGAACACCCAGCAAAUCCCAUAAACAGCAGUUCAAUGAUAUAGAAAAAUAGAUAACGUAAAAAAUUUGCAAGCAACAGCAUGGCAAGGAAUCGCAACAAACAACAACAAUGAGGGGAGAGA